rnacentral:rRNA from 1 species
GGGGAAUAUUGGACAAUGGGCGCAAGCCUGAUCCAGCCAUGCCGCGUGAGUGAUGAAGGCCUUAGGGUUGUAAAGCUCUUUCAGUAGGGAAGAUAAUGACGGUACCUACAGAAGAAGCCCCGGCUAACUUCGUGCCAGCAGCCGCGGUAAUACGAAGGGGGCUAGCGUUGUUCGGAUUUACUGGGCGUAAAGCGCACGUAGGCGGAUUGGUCAGUUAGAGGUGAAAUCCCGAAGCUCAACUUCGGAACUGCCUUUAAUACUGCCAGUCUCGAGUCCGGAAGAGGUGAGUGGAACUCCUAGUGUAGAGGUGGAAUUCGUAGAUAUUAGGAAGAACACCAGUGGCGAAGGCGGCUCACUGGUCCGGUACUGACGCUGAGGUGCGAAAGCGUGGGGAGCAAAC